rnacentral:rRNA from 1 species
AAUCAACGCUGGCGGCGUGCCUAACACAUGCAAGUCGAACGAGAAAGUGGAGCAAUCCAUGAGUAAAGUGGCGCACGGGUGAGUAACACGUGACUAACCUACCCUUGAGUGGGGGAUAACCUAGGGAAACCUGGGCUAAUACCGCAUAAUACCUACGGGUCAAAGGAGCAAUUCGCUUUAGGAGGGGGUCGCGGCAGAUUAGUUAGUUGGCGGGGUAAUGGCCCACCAAGACGAUGANCUGUAUCCGGCCUGAGAGGGCGCACGGACACACUGGAACUGAAACACGGUCCAGACUCCUACGGGAGGCAGCAGUGGGGAAUUUUGCGCAAUGGGGGAAACCCUGACGCAGCAACGCCGCGUGGAGGAUGAAGACCCUUGGGUCGUAAACUCCUUUCGAUCGGGACGAUAAUGACGGUACCGGAAGAAGAAGCCCCGGCUAACUUCGUGCCAGCAGCCGCGGUAAC